CGCUGCUGGCCGCGCCGCCGCUCGCGCACGCGGACAAGGAGCUGAUAACGAAUGCAGUAAAAAAAGCUGCAGCGGCAAUAUCAGAACUGCGAGUGGAACACCACGAGGAUCUGGUGGUGCCUUUUAGGGUUCCAUAGCAAAGAAGUUCCGCCUCAAUGUCCGAGGACGAACGAUGAACUUGCACUGCUAUAGAUUUAUAUAGACAGCUAGGGCCUUGUUAUAAUGGAAGUAUGGUUGAGGAUACUGGGUUGAUGUGACCUUUUAUUUAUGAGUUUAUUCCCUUGUUGAUGUUUGGGUGCUAAAUGUAUUAUUGUUUCAGUAAAAAUUAUUUUUUGUUUCAAUGUUUUUUGAAAAUAAUUUAAAUGUAUAUACUUAGUCAUGUACAUAUUGGCGUCUUAAUUUCUUAGCUAGCUUUAAUACUAUUUAGACAAUAACAAAAUAUCAAGUUCUUAGAUACAUUCAAAUGAAGUUGCGUCUAUUUUAUGCAAGUACGAAAUUGAACAAAAAUGUGUAUCUUUUUCAAAGCCAACAAUAAGAAUAUAAUUCACCGAAUCGUUCAUUCUUUCUAUUUUCUGCGUCGAAAAGGAUUCCAAAAUUAGUCAUUUUUACGUGCAAUAAAUUCAAUAUUUUCUUUUUCUAUCUAUCUCUAUUCUAUAUUGAAUUUAUAUAUAUUUUUUAUAACCAUAUUCUUAAGCGAUGUUGUUAUUGUCAAAGAAACAACGUUGAAUAGCUUUAAACUAUGAUUAAUUAAAUAAAGUUAUUUUAUGGUUUAAUGUAUAAAAGUAAUGGUCAUUUCUUCCCAUUUCUCUACCAGAGGUUUGAAAGUGUUGUGAAAUAGUUAUAUAAAUCGAAAGGCAGUGUUAUGGACAAUUGAUAUUAAACGUUAUAAUAUUAAUAUUUAUCCUUGUUUAAAGUGUGCUUCUGCUUUGUUUUUUUUUUUCUAACUGGUCAUUUGACUGAAGAUGACAAUAGCGCCAUCUACCGUAACGACUGAUAACUAAAACUUCACUGAAUAUGGAAAAAUGUAUUUAUUUAUUUUUUUGGAAAAAAAUUCAAAUAUUUUCAAAUUUUAGUGGCGAAAUGCUACGUGAUAUUAAGAAGGGACACACUAUACUUUGAAAAAACGAUUUUUUUUUAAGUAAAGCGUUUGAAAAUAUUCGUGUGUAACAAGCCUCGUGCCUUUUCUUAUAUCAUAUCAAAUGUGUUUCAACUCCUUUAGAUUUUUUACUCGAAAAUAUUUGGGAGAUUUUUUUUAAAUAUAAUAUAGCAUGUUAAUUUUUAUUACGAUUUCAAAAAUAAAUUGAAUAUUUAUAAUUUUGUAUGUAAUUAAUUUGUAAGCAUUGAUAUUGUAAUUUUAUAAAAAAUGUAUCAAUUGCUUUAAAUUAAUUUAAAAUGAUUUUGCAUGAAAUGUUAUUAUGAAUAGUUGUAACCUGUUACGCGACUAAGUAUUUUUGUAUGAUUGCCAAAAUAUUAAACCUCUUAUGGGGUAAAUAGGAAUAAAAACAGGUAAAUAGAGAAAAAAAAAACAAUCGUAAUAGGUAAUCAAGUGACUAAAUUAAAAAUAGAAAGACUAAGCUGAAGGGUAUUUAAUAAAUUUACGAAUGUUCUCAAUUCCUAAACUACUAAAGUAAAUUUUAUAUAAAAAUAAAUUAUAUUGACUCAAUGUAUUCCAAGUCUUUUACAUUUGUAUCUUUAAGUCUGUAAAAGUCACUCAGCUGAGCAAAGCCAUGUUUUCAUAUAAGGAAAAGAGACUAAUCCGAGACGCAUCUCCGCCGGCGGAUCAUAUUUCUAGUAAAAAAAAUGUGUAAUACUCCAAACAAUCUCAAAAUCAAAAACCAACUUUAUUUAAAUAAGCCCCAUGAGCAUCUUCGAAUCAUUUUACAAAUUAAAACUUUGAAAUGAUUAUUAUUUUUGUAAAAGUAAAGCUACCACCGAUUCGGAAUGUAGAUUCUGCAGAGAAGAAUCGGCAAGAAACUCCGCAGUUACUCUUUUUAAAAUAAUAUAUAAACUGUGUUUUAGUACGAAAUAGCAAUUUUGCAUGAUAUGCGUCAAUAAGUUCACACAUUUUUAUCAACUAUAUAAUGCUGCACCGAACAAUACGCUUUAUCUAUUAAUUUUUUAAUAGAUAAAGCAUAUAUAUUGACUAUUUGACUAAUAUUGUAUAGAUUAAUAAUAAUUUGUUGAUAAACUAUGAAGUGUAUUAAAUAUACAUUUUUAUGUACGGGCAUAUUUAUAGACUGAAUAUUCUUCAAUACCCUUCAGAAUCUAUUAAAUUAUUUAAACAUGACAGAUACACGCCUCCGAUAACUUAAAAUUUAAAGAAUGUUUAUUAUUCUAUCAUAAUGAAUUUUAACAGAAAAAUGUCGACGUUUAUAAUGUCAACUUGACACUUAUUUGACAGUUUGAAAGUUCGUGUUGUCUUUUUCUUUAGUCAUAGAAAGAAAAGAGACAGCAUGAAUUACAUUUUUUACACCUCUUUUACACAUAUUUCUAUUUCAGUAGAACUGAAAUUUUUUUCGGUUUCCUAACAAAAUAACUUUUUUUAGAAUAAGGCUGUGUAUUACGCGUGUUAAGUUCAUUGUAAUCUUUUUAUGUUAUUCGCAGAUUAUAUCAGAAUGUGUUAAUGCCAUUAUAGAUGUACCUUAUUAAUAAAUAAAUAAAUUUGUAUUUUUGUUGUUUUAUUUGAAUAUUUUUACUAAUGAAAUAUAGAUAUAUAUA
rnacentral:misc_RNA from 1 species